CUCAGGCUUAAAUUUUAGCAUAAAUGACCAAACCAAGCCGUCUGUUAGAAGGCACAGCUUUAAAAACCAUUUGUCUAGUUCAGAAGCAGAAAAUAUAAUGACUUUUCAUUGUUUCAGGUCUUUUAUUGUCUACCUUGCUGCCCAAAAUGACCGUGCCCAAUUCCUUUUUUUUUUUCCCCCCCACACUGAACCUGUGUGGCAUCAUAUUAACAUGGCACAUGAAGAUCCCGAGGUGAAAAUAAAUCUAGAAAGAUAAAUAUCAAACUUUGAGAUGCUGUUCCGUGUAACUGAAUGUUUAUCUGAACUUCACGCACAACAUCCACUUAGAUAAUUUGCCCACAAGGCAAGUUUGUUUUGUUUUUCACAAUGUUCUGCUACUUGAGAUUAUUUAUUCACUGCAGCAGAGCAAUGGACUAGCCUGAUUUGUUAAGCAAGCACUGUGAGGAUAGAUAAUGCUGGAUUAUCUUUCGUGGAAAACUGGAGUGAGAAGCAAUGAACUGUCACCCGGUGCGUCAUGUUCCAGGAUGGGCUAGAAAAACUGGUACGGGUGCAACUGUGGAGAAACAAAUUCUAUGGACCAAGUAAUGUGGUGUGAUCGAGUGAACUGAAAUGCCAAACUCUGCAGAACUGCAAGAAAAAGCAAGAGGUGGAGCAUCUUGUUACGGAGGAGGACCUGGAGUAUACGACAAGUUUUCACCUGCUGUGAAACGCUCUGUCACAGUCUGGAUACACACUGAGCAGAUUUUAGCUGUUGCCCAACAUCUUGUUUCUGCACCCAUUUAAAUCAGCAGAGAAGACUCACAAUCUUUGCUGGUGAGUGAGCAGUUUAACUCUGAAAGUAGUAAACUACAGUUUAAUAUCGAAAAGGUGGGAUCUAACGCUGCAGAUAAUCUGCAGUUGCCAUUAAUUUAUGGAUUAGUCUACACACACCCUUACCACCUCAAAGAAUG
rnacentral:lncRNA from 1 species